AGGAUGGUAAACAUUCUGUGAAAUUUAUCCUGUUUUACUCAUAAUCACAUUGGACAAUUCAGGACCUAGUUGUCUGGGAGAAACUUUCAGUGCAAAUAUGCCAGAUAACAAGGAAGGGCAGAUUUACCGAAAGAGGGAGAUACAAAGAUCUUCUGUUCUCUGGUUCACUCCCCAAAUAGCCGAAACAGUUGGAGCUGAGCCUAUCCAAACCCCAGCACAUGCAAGAGUGUACUUGAGUCUACCAUGCUCAUUUGCACCCUUCCACCGCAGAGCUUAGAGGAACCUUCCCCACUCUUCAGGUCUACCACUCUUCAACAGACCUUCUCAAUUACAGGAACAGAAUGCACCUUCAGAAUACACAGAUAAGUGCCAGCUGCGUACAAACGAGGAGCUUG